AUGGGUGGCGCUCCGCCUCCGCCCCCACCUCCGUUUCGGGGAGCCCCACCUCCUCCUCCAAUGCCAGGAGCACCUCCUCCACCGCCUCCUCCGAGAGGUGGGUUUGCACCUCCUCCACCGCCUCCUCCGGGAGGUGGGUUGGCACCUCCUCCGCCGCCUCCUCCGGGAGGUGGGUUUGCACCUCCUCCGCCGCCUCCUCCAGGAGGUGGGCGCGGACCUCCUCCACCGCCUCCACCAGGAGGUGGGCGCGGACCUCCUCCACCCCCUCCCCCCGGAGGACGUGUCCCAGGUCCCCCAGGUGGUGGACCGCCUCCACCACCACCUUUAGGCGCCAAAGGAGCUGAUGCAAGAGGCGGACCAGGUAGAGGCCGAGGGCGUGGGGGUGCUGGUAUGGCACCUCGA
rnacentral:lncRNA from 1 species